rnacentral:rRNA from 1 species
CACAUCCGCAUCCUUUGCUGAGGAUACGGUUAACGGAGCGAAAGCGACGUUCAACCGCAAAACAAGCAGAGGGGGCUUAGUGGUGGGGUGACUGCGUACCUUUUGUAUAAUGGGUCAGCGACUUAUAUUCUGUAGCAAGGUUAACCGAAUAGGGGAGCCGGAGGGAAACCGAGUCUUAAUUGGGCGUUAAGUUGCAGGGUAUAGACCCGAAACCCGGUGAUCUAGCCAUGGGCAGGUUGAAGGUUGGGUAACACUAACUGGAGGACCGAACCGACUAAUGUUGAAAAAUUAGCGGAUGACCUGUGGCUGGGGGUGAAAGGCCAAUCAAACCGGGAGAUAGCUGGUUCUCCCCGAAAGCUAUUUAGGUAGCGCCUCGUGAAUUCAUCUCCGGGGGUAGAGCACUGUUUCGGCUAGGGGGCCAUCCCGGCUUACCAACCCGAUGCAAACUGCGAAUACCGGAGAAUGUUAUCACGGGAGACACACGGCGGGUGCUAACGUCCGUCGUGAAGAGGGAAACAACCCAGACCGCCAGCUAAGGUCCCAAAGUCAUGGUUAAGUGGGAAACGAUGUGGGAAGGCCCAGACAGCCAGGAUGUUGGCUUAGAAGCAGCCAUCAUUUAAAGAAAGCGUAAUAGCUCACUGGUCGAGUCGGCCUGCGCGGAAGAUGUAACGGGGCUAAACCAUGCACCGAAGCUGCGGCAGCGAACGUAUCACCCAAGACAACUUUACGGAGUUGACGAUUGACGGAGCGAAGCGACGUCAAAGCGUUCAUUAAAGUCGAGUUGGCUUAGGGAUACGUUCGUUGGGUAGGGGAGCGUUCUGUAAGCCUGUGAAGGUGUGUCGUGAGGCAUGCUGGAGGUAUCAGAAGUGCGAAUGCUGACAUAAGUAACGAUAAAGCGGGUGAAAAGCC